rnacentral:lncRNA from 1 species
UGAUCAUGGAAGAUGGGAGCAAGAAAGGACACUAUGUUUGAUUUGAUUUUGCAGGGAAUAGAGCGACUCAUUAGUCAUUCAGUCAAACAUCCAACAAACAUUUAUUGAGCAUUUACAAUGUACCAUGUUAUUAGAUGCAAGAGAUACAAUGGUGAGGAAAAACAAAUAUUCCCAUGUCUUCAUGAAGCUCAAGACUUAACAGAGGAAACUAUCACCCCCUAAGAGGAAGCCAAUAUCAUUUGUCACAAGUUUAAAGCAUGGAUUAUUGCAAAAAUCAAGAUGCAGACAAAAUGGCAAAUCUGAGAAGAGAUGGACAGGCAAAAUGGAGCACAACGGAGUCACUACUGCUACGUCAGUGUGGAGUCGCACCUUGAGCCAUAGUGUUACUUAACCAUGUUCCUUGAUGGCACACAGAAUGUUAUACUGUAAUAUAGAUGUAAA